rfam:Nelumbo nucifera unplaced genomic scaffold scaffold00098, whole genome shotgun sequence
ACUUAGGUGCCAUUAGGCACCACAUCAAAAAAAACAGUGAAUAAAA